ensembl:antisense
GUCAUUUGUGAUAUACACUUCAUCUUCCCUGUGCUUUCAGAACUCUGGAGGCCAGGAAUCAGUUAUAAUUGUGCACUUGGAGUUAGAGAAUCCUACAGCUCUUAAAGUAUCUACCUCUUUCCAUCUUGACUCAACCUUGUUACCGUUUCUCUUCUACAAAGCUUCCUCCUGUUCCACCUGGAAGAUGCUUGACACGGUCUCAGGGAGCUCCUCAUAAAUACUUGGCUGGAGAAAAAUGAAAGUCCAAAAGGUUCAUCUCAUUGGUCCUUCCAAAGCCUUCAGUUCUACAGCAUCUAUGGUUCUACAGCUAUCCAGGGACAGAAUGGUCUUCUUUCCCCACAGCACAUAGAAGUGGGAUGGGAGACCAACAGGAGGGACCGGGAAGACAGGAAGAUCACAAAAACAAAAAGUAUAUAUAAAAAUGCCAUGAGGGGGUCCAUAGGCUUCAUACGCUAAUUCUCAAAAUAACUCAUGAUACGGGGAAAGCAGUCAUGAUCCUCUGAAACUUUUUCUACCGCAGCCAGUCUAGCUCUGAUGUAGUCUGUGAUCUGAUCCUCUGCCAGUACUCAAUCGGCUAAUCAAUGGACUCUAAGAGACAGUUGUGAAAUGGCGGUUCCCUAAAACUCUCCACAAUUCUGCCUGUGCCAGGACUGCUCACGAUGGGCACAUGGUCACAUGGUACAGACACAGGAGCUACCAUGGAAUCUGAGCAAUAGGAAAGAGGGUCUUCUAGCUCUCGGGGUUUCAAGGGAACAUGGCAGAAUGGAAGGAAAAGGAGAAGAAAAAUCACUACUGAUUUCAGAUGGGAGAGUGGUGAGUUUGAGUCAUCUUUUUGCACUUCCUCUUCUCUCUGAACUGAAUUUCUUGGCCAGAGUAAACUCGCAGGGAAGUAUUAAAAGCAAGAUGCCAUUGGGAUGAGGGUUUCUACCAAAAUAGAGAAACAACAGGGAGAUGUAUUCAUUGAGAAUGGAAAACAGAAAUGACCUAGGACCACUUCCCAAGGAGAAUCUAAACGCAGCAAGCUUCCAGGGAAGACAUGGACAAGUGUGUAGCAUGCCAAGGCACUGAGCAGCGUGUGAUUCUCAUAGCGCUUACAAGGCCUGGCCGGACCCGGCACAGCCUGAGGAUGACAAAUUACUUCUGUGUGCCCCACAGGUAGAUACAGAUUAGAAUGGUUUGGACAAAGAUGGAUGCCUCAGAAGAAGUGCUCAAUAUGGCCUACAGCACAGGGAAAAUGCACCCCAAUAUCUAGUCAACAUACCUACUUAGUAGUAUACUUAAUAUGAACCCAGACUAUUUUAUAAAUUAACUGCACCUAAUAAUAAUAAAAAUAAUAAUAAGCAAAAACAAAGAAAUCAGACUUCCAUCACAUCCUGAAUAGUUUUCACAUGUCCUGUGUGAUGGUUUGUAUAUGCUUGGCCCAGAGAGUGGCACUAUUAGAAGAUGUGGCCCUGUUAGAGUUCUUGUGUCAUUGUGGGCCUGGGCUUUAAGACCCUCACCCUAGCUGCCUGGAAGCCAGUAUUCUGCUAGCAGCCUUCAGAUAAAGAUGUAGAACUCCCAGCUCCUCCUGUGCCAUGCCUGUCUGGAUGCUGCCAUGUUCCUGCCUUGAUGAUACUGGACUGAACCUCUGAACCUGUAAGCCAGCCCCAGAUAAAUGUUGUUCUUAUAAGAGUUGCCUUAGGUCACAGUGUCUGUUCAAAGCAGAAAAACCCUAAGUAAGGCAUCCUGGAAGACAUGCCAGUAAAAUAUAAUAGUUUAUGAAUAUGUAAGACCAGAAUCUAAUACCAUUUUAUAUAUAUAAACGCAAAAGGUUUCCCCAUUUAACCACACUGUAUUAUUAUUAUCCAGGGAUAGCACUAUUAUCCCAGUUGCAGCCUCUCUGUUUUAUUAUUAUUAUUAUUAUUAUUAUUAUUAUUAUUAUUAUUAUUUAUAUGAGUACAUUGUAGCUGUCUUCAGACACACACUAGAAGAGUGCAUCAGAUCCCAUUACAGAUGGUUGUGAGCCACCAAGUGGUUGCUGGGAAUUGAACGCCAAGACCUUUCAGAAGAGCAGUCAGUGCUCUUAACCACUGAGCCAUCUCUCCAGCCCUGUUGCCUCUCUGUUAACAGCACUGUUAUCACUAAGCUCAUCUGUCUCUCUCUGCAAUUACACAAAUAUACACACUGAAUAAAGAAGUCCACUCUGUAAAUGUAGCACCAGGCAUACUGGGAUUAGCAGUCAAAUGAAACAGAUGAAUGGAUUUUUGUUAAUAAGGAAGAGGUGUUAUUAUUGUUAGUUGAUAUAAUUUUCAACAAAAUGUUAAUAAUGUUUUCAACAACUAUACACUGAAGCUGUGUACUUAAUUUUAAAUAACCUGCUCUUCCCUCUAAAACUGCCCAUGAAGGUCUAUUUCUCCAUGUCUUCUUGUAUUGCCUUUUUUUUCCAAUCCUUUCUGUGCUGUUAUUGUCUAAUUAAUAAGUUAUUUUUCUUUCCAGAAGCUGAUUAUGUCCUGAUGUGUUAAGAGUCCAAUCUAUGAGACUUGUUUUUAAUUUUAAGGCACUUUGUCACCCUGUCCCAUGUCACAAUGCAGCUUUGAUGUUCUGUUUAAGCAGAGCAUCAUGUGUUCCAUUUCAAGAGUCCUUAACUGGUCUUAGCAUUCACGGCUGUUUCUCUUGCUACACACACAUUAGCCUGACAUUGGAAUCUCGCUGUAUGUUCUGGUGCUGACUGCAUUGCCUGCUUUGUUCUUUCAUUCUCUGGUUCUUCUGGCACAAUACAGCUCCUUACAUUCAUGAUUCAAAAUGUAUUUAUUAUCAAUAGGUAAAAAGCUUGUGGUAACUGCAUUAUGGAAUUUCAUUACAAAUCAUGAUCGUUUUCCCUGUAUGUUACAAAUAAGUCAUAUCAAUCUUGACAUCACUAUACAGAGAAAAAAAAGAUAACUAUGAACUUUAUUUCAUGACAGUAAAUAGGAUAAAAUAUAUCAAAUACGAAGAAAAAGCUAGACUAGCUACCUCUGAGAUGUCAUCUCACCGUCCAAAGUCCUCCUUUCCUCAAAUACCACAGGACAGUUCUGCCUUGGGAUUCUGCAGUUGCCCUUCCAUGCUCCUGGAACAAUCCUCUUCCACUUAUAAACCACAGGCUGGUCGCCACAUUUCCUUCAGACAGGCCCAAGUGACUCAGUCUCUGGCUUCCUGCUAGCAAGAAUGCAGAUGUGAUAGAUAUCUGUGGUAGCCAUACUAGACCUCAAGAUGACCGUGGGAACGAGCAUCACCGGAGGCAGGGCUAUGAGCUGACAGGAAUCUAGACCUUGGCCUGCCAGAUGCCAUAUCUCUCCUGCACUACCUUUACAAGACUUUUUUUUUUUUUUUUAACGAGGAAGAAAUAAACUUUGAAGUAGUCUAAGCCACUGUU